rnacentral:ncRNA from 1 species
AUGAACCUUCGGGGCAGGGUGAAAUCCCCUACCGGCGGUGAGGAUACGUACGUAUGUAUCUAAGCCCGCGACUCCUAAGCUGUAAUGGCUUGGGACUGACUUGGUGGAAUUCCAAGGCCGACGGUUAUAGUCCGGAUGGGAGAAGGUCAAG